rnacentral:rRNA from 1 species
ACGAACGCUGGCGGCGUGCUUAACACAUGCAAGUCGAACGAUGAUGCCAGCUUGCUGGUGGAUUAGUGGCGAACGGGUAAGUAACACGUGAGCAACCUGCCCCUGACUUCGGGAUAACCGCGGGAAACCGUGGCUAAUACCGGAUAUGACGCGCUAUCGCAUGGUGGUGUGUGGAAAGAUUUAUCGGUUGGGGAUGGGCUCGCGGCCUAUCAGCUUGUUGGUGGGGUGAUGGCCUACCAAGGCGACGACGGGUAGCCGGCCUGAGAGGGUGACCGGCCACACUGGGACUGAGACACGGCCCAGACUCCUACGGGAGGCAGCAGUGGGGAAUAUUGCACAAUGGGCGCAAGCCUGAUGCAGCGACGCCGCGUGAGGGAUGACGGCCUUCGGGUUGUAAACCUCUUUCAGUAGGGAAGAAGGCCUUCGGGUUGACGGUACCUGCAGAAGAAGCGCCGGCUAACUACGUG